rnacentral:miRNA from 1 species
UAAGGACGAGUAAUGCAGAGGUU